UCAAGUGACUAAGUGUAUGUGGUGGAUGCCUUGGCGAUCACAGGCGAUGAAGGACGUAGUAGCUUGCGAUAAGCUGCGGGGAGCCGGCAAACGGGCUUUGAUCCGCAGAUUUCCGAAUGGGGGAACCCACCGACGUAGGUCGGUAUCACGUACUGAAUACAUAGGUGCGUGAGGCGAACGGAGCGAACUGAAACAUCUAAGUAGCUCCAGGAAAAGAAAUCAACCGAGAUUGCGAAAGUAGCGGCGAGCGAAAUUGCAGCAGCCCAGUGUUCUGAUAGCACGAACGACAGCAGAAGGGUCUGGAAAGGCCCGCUAUAGAGGGUGAUAGCCCCGUAUGCGAAAUCGAACGUGUGGUACUAAGGAACCGAUAAGUAGGGCGGGACACGUGACAUCCUGUCUGAAGAUGGGGGGACCAUCCUCCAAGGCUAAAUACUCGUGAUCGACCGAUAGUGAACCAGUACUGUGAAGGAAAGGUGAAAAGAACCCCGGGAGGGGAGUGAAAUAGAACCUGAAACCGCAUACAUACAAACAGUAGGAGCCCCUGCAGUGGGGUGACUGCGUACCUUUUGCAUAAUGGGUCAGCGACUUACGUUUUGUGGCGAGCUUAACCGAGUAGGGGAGGCGUAGCGAAAGCGAGUUCGAAUAGAGCGAAGAGUCUCAAGGCGUAGACCCGAAACCAGAUGAGCUAUCCAUGGCCAGGUUGAAGGUGUGGUAACACACACUGGAGGACCGAACCGACUAGUGUUGCAAAAUUAGCGGAUGAGCUGUGGAUAGGGGUGAAAGGCUUAACAAAUCUGGAGAUAGCUGGUUCUCCCCGAAAACUAUUGAGGUAGUGCCUCGUGUAUUGCUCCAGGGGGUAGAGCACUGUUAUGGCUAGGGGGACAUGGCGUCUUACCAAACCAUGGCAAACUCCGAAUACUUGGAAGUAAGAGCACGGGAGACAGAGCACCGGGUGCUAACGUCCGGACUCAAGAGGGAAACAACCCAGACCGCCGUUUAAGGUCCCAAAUAUUGACUAAGUGGAAAACGAAGUGUGAAGGCUAAGACAGUCAGGAAGUUGGCUUAGAAGCAGCCAUCCUUCAAAGAAAGCGUAAUAGCUCACUGAUCGAGUCCUCAUGCGCGGAAGAUGUAACGGGGCUAAGUCAAUAACCGAAAGCGCGGAUUUGCACGCAAGUGCAAGUGGUAGGGGAGCGUUCUGUAAGCCUGCGAAGGUGGUUCGAGAGGACUGCUGGAGGUAUCAGAAGUGCGAAUGCUGACAUGAGUAACGUUAAAGCGGGUGAAAAGCCCGCUCGCCGUAAGCCCAAGGUUUCCUGCUCUACGUUCAUCGGAGCAGGGUGAGUCGGCCCCUAAGGCCAGGCUGAGAAGCGUAGUCGAUGGGAAGCAGAUUAAUAUUUCUGCACCAUGUGCAAGUGCGAUGGGGGGACGGAGUGCGAAAGAUCAUCCGGGUGUUGGAUGUCCCGGUUUGUGAGUGUAGAAGGCCGACAGGCAAAUCCGUCGGCGGAUCUUCGAGACAAAGCAUCGAGGUUCUACGGAACCGAAGUGAUCGGAAGUGCUUCCAGGAAAAGCCUCUAAGCUUCAGCUUGUACAUGACCGUACCGUAAACCGACACUGGUGGGCGAGUUGAAUAUACUCAGGCGCUUGAGAGAACUCGGGAGAAGGAACUCGGCAAAUUGACCCCGUAACUUCGGGAUAAGGUGUGCCUUUGUAGCGUGAAGAGAGAAACACUCGGAGCGUGAAGAGGCCUCAGAGAAUCGGUGGCUGCAACUGUUUAUUAAAAACACAGCACUCUGCAAAGACGAAAGUCGACGUAUAGGGUGUGAUGCCUGCCCGGUGCUGGAAGAUUAAGUGAUGGGGUGAGAGCUCCUGAUCGAAGUCCCAGUAAACGGCGGCCGUAACUAUAACGGUCCUAAGGUAGCGAAAUUCCUUGUC
rnacentral:rRNA from 1 species